CAGUAGCCGCGGGAAUACGUAGGUGGCAAGCGUUGUCCGGAAUUAUUGGGCGUAAAGGGCUCGCAGGCGGUUUCUUAAGUCUGAUGUGAAAGCCCCCGGCUCAACCGGGGAGGGUCAUUGGAAACUGGGAAACUUGAGUGCAGAAGAGGAGAGUGGAAUUCCACGUGUAGCGGUGAAAUGCGUAGAGAUGUGGAGGAACACCAGUGGCGAAGGCGACUCUCUGGUCUGUAACUGACGCUGAGGAGCGAAAGCGUGGGGAGCGAACAGGAUUAGAUACCCGAGUAGUCCCUGUCUCUUAUAA
rnacentral:rRNA from 1 species